rnacentral:rRNA from 1 species
GAUGAACGCUAGCGGCAGGCUUAAUACAUGCAAGUCGAGGGGGCAACAGGGGUAGCAAUACCUGCUGGCGACCGGCAAACGGGUGCGGAACACGUGGGAACGUACCCUUCGGUUCGGGAUAACUCGAGGGAAACUUGAGCUAAUACCGGAUACGUCCGAGAGGAGAAAGAUUUAUCGCCGAGGGAUCGGCCCGCGUCUGAUUAGCUUGUUGGUGAGGUAACGGCUCACCAAGGCGACGAUCAGUAGCUGGUCUGAGAGGAUGAUCAGCCACAUUGGGACUGAGACACGGCCCAAACUCCUACGGGAGGCAGCAGUGGGGAAUAUUGGACAAUGGGCGCAAGCCUGAUCCAGCCAUGCCGCGUGAGUGAUGAAGGCCCUAGGG